rnacentral:lncRNA from 12 species
GUGAGGGACUGGGCAAGAUGGUGGAUAUGCAGGAAAGAAUGGCCCAGCUCCCUAGGAACUAGACUAAAUCUCCUGCAGUCUUAUUUAGUAAGAAUUUUAUGGCUGACUGACUUGCAAAAUCUGUUUUCCAUGGUCUGUCGGCGUUAAUCAUCAACAGGUAUUACUGGGCAGCUGGCCCUGAUAAGAGUGUUCCAGAGAGAACCAAGACACAAUAGUCCUGGGAAUUUGGCAACUAUGACCAUACGAGGGAUAGAAACUCAUUUAUGGAUGUGAUGUGCAUUCUUUAGUCCACGAUGAUUAAGGUUGAGAGGAUUUAUGUAUAAAGUCAUGAAGAAGUAUAUACUAUGGUGAGCUGUCCCAAGGGAAGAGGUUCUUUGCUUUUGUUCCCACCUGAAGACUGCAUUUUUAUUUCCUCUUCCUGGACUGUGCAUGCUUGCUUUAGGCCUUAGCUAAAUGUUACCUCCUUAGAGAGGCCUUCCUUGAUAACUCAAUUGAAACUAAUUUCCCCUAUACUCACUUCACUGUCUUUCUCACAUUAUCCUGUCUGAUUUCCUUCAUAGCACUCAUCGUCAUCUGUAGUCGAGUAUUUGCUUAUUGCCUAUGUCCCAUGCUGGCAAUAGGCACCCUGAAAGAAGAAGUAUUGCCUACCUUGCCUACUGUGGUAUUCCAGUGCUCAAAAAGUGUUUACUGAAUGAUUGAAUGGAGUAAACAUGGCUGACUUGCAAUCUUCUCUUUGGGAUCUGUUGGCACAUCAACUUCUGUGAACUCCAUGAGAGUGCGGUCUACUGUGGGUCUAUGUAUGGAAUUUAAUGUUAUUAUAACCACGGAGAGACAAACUGUUCCUGAAACUAAGGAUAGCAGGAUGAGAAAGAGACUGUUGAAGAAGCAGAUGGACAAUGUUUCUGAUCUCAUGAAGAUCACAUUUUAGUUGAAAGGGGACACAAAAGACUCAAAGCACACAUACUUGAACAACAAAGUAAAUGGUGGUAAGUGUUAGAGAGACUGGGAUACAUUAUAUCAAGUGGCCAGAUCCUUCCUAAUUUAGUUCUCUUUCUGCUUUACCAAAGUGCUGUCUAAACGACUAUUUCAAAGAAAUAGAGAGCUAAGUGACACAGUACUCUUUCGGUGUAUUGAAUAUGAAAAAUAAAAUUUAUUUUCUUUCAAUUAACUUAUCCCCU